rnacentral:lncRNA from 1 species
CCUUCUCUGUCUUCUUCUUCAUCCCACAUAAAACCCAUCUCCUCCGGCGAGUCCCAGUUCCCCAUUACCGGAAAAUCAUGCUCCGACGAACUAUCCGAAUCAGAUUCAGGAUAAUAACAUGACAAAGAAGGGUACCUCGAAACUCCAGCAACAGAACUCUCCUCUGUUCUUCACCUUCAUAUAUAACCUCCAAUGGCGCUUUCACGUUCCAUUCAACGAAAGACUCGUC